UGAAUAAACAGCUAUGGGAUGGUCUACGGCAAAGCCUCUCCUUACAGUUGCAGGAGAACUCACUGCAUUUUCUCUCUUUCGUUAGAGGAAAUUGUGGUACAUUUAGGGAGAGCGUUGCAAUCUUUUUUUUUUUUUUUCCCUCCCUUCUCUCCAGUCAGCACAGUGCAUUCCACCAAAGGGAAAACUCACUUUCUGUGCUUUCAACACUGCGGUCUGCUUUCCUCUUUCAGUGUGAUGUAAACACACAGAUAAUGGAUUCCUGAAGCAGUGACCCUGAAAAUGAUAAAAUCUGCCUUCUUUAGACGGCUAACUUAACAAGCAAAGAAAGAGGCAUGAGCCAAGUUUUGCUUUUUUUUUCUCAUGCUACAAACUUACCUUUUUAAAGCAAGUACUGCAGCCUAAGAUCUGACAGAUAUCCAAGAUAAAGCUUCUAACAUAUUCCCUCGUGUGUAAGUUCGGAGCCUGGAUUUUCCAUGCCUUGCUUGAGGAACGCCUAUGUUGCCAAUGUUUAAGACACUGUCAUUUUAUCUUAUUAUAUCCAGCACGCAGCCAUUACUGUGAGCCAGUUUACAAGAUAAACAAAGUACUAUGAAUGAAAGAACCACAGGACCACACUUGUGGCACAGACCAGAGUAAAAUAAGAAACAUGCACAGAAGGGCUGAACUUCACUGUUACUCGGGCUGCUCUGGGAUUAUUUACGGAGUCACAUGGACAGAGAAGCGGAGGAGGAGGUUUGGUUUUGGGUAACACAGGGAUACGACGAACUGCAGCAUAAAGGAACCACAGGUUUCUCUACCAUACAUCCAAGUAAAUCCCAGCUUCCUCGGUAGUUCGGCUUCAGUCCCUAGAGAAAACGCUCUCGCUGAGCCCGAAGUACAUAAAAAGCUUUGGUUCAAAACCCAGCAGUGUGGGUUGGCGGCAAGUUGUCUGUAACAGAUUCAAACCUAAAGCACCAUGAGGGGUUUUUUGGUGGGGUUUCCCCCCCCCCCCCCCCCCCCCCCCCCCCCCCCAGGCAACUCGAAUUGCCUGUAGUGCUCGAAUCUGGUUUCAAAUGCUCGCCUGGCUCUGGCGAAACUCAAUGAAAUAAAAGCAAGCCUGUGA